rfam:Jatropha curcas cultivar GZQX0401 scaffold342_9, whole genome shotgun sequence.
AAACUGUGAUGUGGGCACUUUCUCAACAAGUCCUUGAAUCUUUCCCAAGCUUCAUACAAGCUCUCUUGGUCAUGAUGAGCAAAUGUCAUUAUCUCAUUGCGCAACUUU